rnacentral:rRNA from 1 species
UACGGGGGGAGCAAACGUUGUUCGGAAUCACUGGGCGUAAAGGGCGCGUAGGCGGCCUGUUAAGUCGAACGUGAAAUCCCCGGGCUCAACCCGGGAACUGCGUCCGAUACUGGCAGGCUUGAAUCCGGGAGAGGGAUGUGGAAUUCCAGGUGUAGCGGUGAAAUGCGUAGAUAUCUGGAGGAACACCGGUGGCGAAGGCGGCAUCCUGGACCGGUAUUGACGCUGAGGCGCGAAAGCCAGGGGAGCAAACGGG